AGUUGAUCGAUGGAGAGUAUUUUCACUAUUUUGAUUUUCGUCCUUCUGAAAAUACAGUAUUAUUCUAACUGCGCGUAUAAAUCAAUAAAGACCGAAGCCAUUAAUAGAAAAAGACAUGAAUGGAGCUUGACGGCCACAAGAACAAAGCAUGUAAGUCAUUGAAAUGAUUUAUCAAUUCUUGUUGUAUAAUUGUGAAUUUGUGUUGCAACUGACUAUCUAGAUUAUUCUUUAAAACACGAGUAUUAUAACAAUCCCCAGUAAGUAAAAUUAAGCGAAUAUAGCUUGUUGAAAACCGUACUGCUAUAAAUUUUCCUGAGCCGACAAAGGUUUUUUUAGAGAUUUUAAUACCAGUUUAUUCUAUUAGUAUUAAAAUUGUGGGGAAAAGCAACUCUUUGGAAUAUAAAGCACUUAUAUCACCAUUAAAGUUUUUUACACCUGUAUGUAUUCCGCUUUCAGGUAUGAAUUUAUCAAGAAAAUAUGGGAUAUCUGUACUAUAUACAGGGUGGCAAUGAAGAAAGUCCAGUGUAUUUCUUUAGAAUGGUCUUCCUUGUAAAAGGUGAUGGCACUAUUUCAUUGAACAUUCAAGGAACAAUUGCCUUUUAAAACAAAUAUGCACAUUUUUAUGCUUGAUUUACAAUGUUUGAUAUCUGCAUUUUAUGCGAUUCAUACCUUAUUUGUAAGUGUUCCUCGAAUAUUGAUUCAAUACAUUUAAUACCUCGGGCUGACCAAUAGCUGUUAUCGUAAUUGAAUACGCCGCUGCGGCGAACCAGCGGUAUCUCAGUGGAAGUACGC